GCACUACUGAGGAGUCCCACGAUGGGAGGAAACGGCCGUCCAGUGC
rnacentral:hammerhead_ribozyme from 1 species